ACAUCUUGAGAAAAUGAAAGUAUAGGAAAAAGUAGGAUGAGUAAAAGAUAGUUUUUUCGUUUCAUAGUAAGUAGGUUAGCUUUUUUUUUUUUUUUUUUUUU
rnacentral:ribozyme from 16 species